GCGUGCGUAGCUCAAUUGGAUAGAGCAGUAGUUUCCGGAACUAAAGGUUGCAGGUUCGAGUCCUGCCGUGCGUACCA
rnacentral:tRNA from 1 species